AGGUGAACCUGUGGAAGGAUCAUUACCGAGUUCAUGCCCUUCGGGGUAGAUCUCCCACCCUUUGUAUACUAUACCUUUGUUGCUUUGGCGGGCCGCCUAGCUACUGGCUUCGGCUGGUAAGUGCCCGCCAGAGAACCCAAAACCCUGAAUUAUUAGUGUCGUCUGAGUAAAAUAUUUAAUAUUUAAAACUUUCAGCAACGGAUCUCUUGGCUCUGG
rnacentral:misc_RNA from 1 species